rnacentral:misc_RNA from 1 species
CAGCAAGGCCCGCGUGAUCGCGAUGCUCUUGCGAUAGUUUGCAUAACUUUCCUCGAAGUCGGCGCGAUUGCCUGUAGCCGUGCCCCGAAAGUCGAGUGCGUUCGCAACGCCGUCCGCCGCGAUCGCGACGUCCAUAUGUGCCCUCGAGUUGCUCGGAUCCAGCCGUUCCACCGACUCCGCGAUCCGCAAAGACUCGCGGCUGUGCGCCACCGCGCUCUCGAAUUGACCGAGUCGGCAAAGCGAUUCGGACAGCCGGUGUUCGAUCGUCAGCAGCGUGUGCAAAUGAGCGACAUUGCCCCGCAUCGCCGCGGGUAGCGCCAUCGACUCCCUCAAAGCGGCCUCAAGAUAGGCCACCGCAUCCGACGUGCGAGUCUCAGCCACCAGCCGCCCUAGCUUCAAAUGCGCGACGGCAAUGGACCGCAACGCGCGAGGGUGCUUAGAAUCCCGCGUGAGAGCCAGUUUCGACAACGCAAUGCUGCGCUGUAGCUCAGCCUCCGCGGCCGCCUCGUCCGUCUUGCCGC